AAGGACAAGCAUCGAAUACAGUUCUCUGACAUAUAAUAGGCAUGUGGUAAUCAACACCAGGAGCUACUCCAAGUCAUAAGCGGCUUCCAUGGUGCUGCAGAGGCUGCCUCCAGAAAGCACAGAACCAGAAAAUAACAACUCCAUUGUUGGAGCAAAUGUUGAGACACUGAAAUUUCUGAUCACCAAUUACAAUGCGUGGAGGAGUCUUUCCCCAUCAUAUCACCAAGCCACGCUCAGGACACCAGGCCCAGCCACAGCACCGCAAGCCUACCCAUACCUCCUGUUCCAAACACUCAGGUUCUUCAGCCCCUGAGUGAAUGCUGAGCCACCCCAGCCCAGAUUUUCCAGCCUUCCACAUCUACUGGUUUUUGAAUCUUAGUUCCCACAUUGACACCGAAGUCUUUGGAAAAAAAGCCAUCAACUGGGGCCAUCGGGGACUACCCUGCCAGCCCUGGAAAUACCAGAAGUUAAGGUGGAAGCCAGCUGCCAUGUCAUGAGGAGACUCAAGAAGCUCUAUGGAGAGGUUCAUGUGGUGAGAAACUGAGGCUGCCUGUCAAUGGCCAGGAAAGAACCAAGGCCUUCCGUCAAAAGCCAUGUGACUAAGCAUAGACACAGAUCCUACAGCUUUGGUUAAGCCUUGGGCCAGACCUAUCCUAGUCAACAGCUGGACUAUGACCCCAUCUGAACCAGACCCCUCAUCUGAUCUGCUCCCAGAUUCCUGACCUACAGAUACUGUGAGAUAACAAAUACUGUUUAAGUCAUUAUUGAGGAAAAUUAGCCACAUCGCAACAGAUAACUAAUACACCUGCCUCAGCUCAUUGCUGAGAAGUCGCUGAAAGAUCACAGGGCAGAGUCAGGGGACCUGAAUUCUACCAUCUGCUUCAUGAUUUACAAAUUGUGUGACCAUGGAAAAUCUACCUGUCUGCUAUGAGCUUCGGAUUCCUUUGAGAAAACUUUCCCUCCUUUUCUCUCGCAGUUGGUAAGAGCGUCAGAUGAAGUAUUUGGGGGAAAUCAGAAGUUUUCUGGUAUCAUAACUACCUUUUUGUCAUUCAGGUUUUCAGCUUCUCAAAACAGUCCGUCCCAUCCAUCCUCUCAACACAGUCUCAAACCACACACCACAUGAACACAAGGCAGCGACAGCGUCCCCUUUCCUUCAGCAGAUGCCAUGUCUUGUCCACGCCUGGGAGCACCAAGGUAGUGCCAUGUUCAAAACAAAACUUAACGAGGAAGGUACCACAUUGACUCCAACUGGGAAGACUGCUGUCACCAGACUGCCAGAGAACGAGAUGACCACACAUUUCCCGUGAAGAGGAAGAAGAUGCAGAAAAGUCACCUGGCCUCAUGCAAGUUGGCGGUGAUCAUUGGAAGGAAGACAAAAGCUGACUGGUCUCUUAACUCUGACAGUUUCCUUAGCCUAUUUGAUAUGGGCUGUCUUCAGUUUGUUAACUCGCCAUUAUCCAAAAUACCCAUCCCAGCUUCAAGCAGAAUGUCAAUUAACUAGAGGUACAUUAGCACCUGAUAUAUGCACUCAAGAGGCACAUGAAGCAUUCACGUCAAAGCUCUGAGGAACGCUCCAGGCUGAGGAUACUAUCAACCCAGGUUCCACCCUUUUCUGUGGAUGUAGCUCUCCAUCAUGCCUUCAAACUCCAGCCAGAUUAAUCAUUCCCCCUCAAAUGAGGCAACCUCACUUUUGCUCCUGAUUAGAAUGUCUUCUCCCUACACUAAUUAUGUAAAACAAAUUAUGUGUAUGAUAUACUCAGUUAGUUGCCUACAGCACAGUGUCAUUCUGGUCCUUCUUUCUAAAGGAACCCACAUUAUUUUCAAAAAGUGGCCCCCUCCCAAGCCCACCUUAACCCCACUCCAAGAAUAAAUCCUAAUUGGUACAAGCCAUUCAGGGUAAUUUCCCUCCUAUUGCCAAGGGUGGGUGUAGUAUUGGGCAUGUGAUGUAAUUAUGGUCAAUGAGUUAUAAGGAAACCUCUGCUGGGUGGAAUUCUGGGAAUUUUCUCCUUGCUCCUAAAAAGGAGGCAGAAAAAGAGGAGGUCCUGUUUUUCUUGGGGAUUUUGUCCCGCCUGGAUUUGGCUCCUAGAACUACUGUGUCAUCAUGCUGCCAUCCAAAGCUCAGAGGAAGACACAGCUGAGAGAAACCGCAGAGAGGCAGAGCUGGAGCCGGGGCGCCAAGGCACAAUGAGCCCACUCUUCUGAGGCAUCUUUAUUAGGAUAGUUGCUUUGCUGUCAAAGGCAGUUAGAGUCAGGACGUCUUGCUCCAGAUAAAGCAGGCUUCAGGGCCAGGGCAAACCCCACCUCUUCCAAGAUGCCUUUAUUGAUGUGUCCUCUCUUCAUAGCUUUUCUCAUCUUAAGAGUUUCAGUGCCACUGCCUGGGCAGGCAGCUCCAUUGGUCAUCAUUGGACUCAAAGUUCCACGCCACCAUCCACUUAUUCAGCAUUAUACCCCCACUCACCAUUACCAUCGGCCACACCGAGAGUCUUAGAGUGUGGAGGUUAUUGUCUGUGUUUCCUAUGCCAGCACUCAUCCUACAAGUGAGUGGGUUCAAUCAAGCCCAGAAGUUUCUGUUGAAUCAUCCCCUAAACCAAUGGUACCUACUGGCCUUACUGUUCUAUAACUUAGGAAGGCAUGCCGGUGAUUCGUCACAUAAGUAACAUUUGCUCUAAGAUAUUGUCAUCUGCACCUAUUUAGGGAAGUAGCUAGCACUUUUAAAUCUUCUCCCGCCUAUCCAUCACCUCAUUAUGAAUGGGUGAACCCAGUAGACAAAACCACUUACUUUCUUUUCAAAACCACGAUUGGUUAUUUGUUCUUAAAUAUGUGAACUGGAAAUUAUAAAACCUACUCAAAUGUGGUGAGAAUUGAGCAAAAGAAUGUAUACAAAGCCCUAGCUCAAUGCAUGGCAUAUAGUCAGAGAUCAAUGAAUAGCAGGGGUUCUACAGAAUGGAUGGCACCUGAAUGGUACACAUAGGCCAAAUCUAGCCAAAUCAAUUGAAAAGGAGAACCGGUUCAAAGGGAUUACUACUAAGCAAUGAGUUAUCCAGGCCUUUGCUAAGAACAGAGAUUGAUUAUGCAGAGUGACCAAAGCUUUAAUAGCAGACAUGAAAGGCUGACAUGUGUCAUUGUCCUGAUUCUUCAUACUUCUAAGUGGAGGUUUUAUCCUGUUAUGAUCAGGUAAUAUAAUAAAAUGCCUAUAACUUAGAAAUCAAACUUUCUCUUCUAUAUAAAGGCCAGAAUGAAAAUAUGUCACUGUUUUCCUAUGGCUGAAAGCAAUGACUUUCCCAAGGCUGGUUUGUACUCUUCCUUUUCCCAAGUAGAAAUUUCCUUGAGCAAGGGAAGUCAAGAGAAUGGCCCUAGUCAGAUGAAACUCAUCACUGUUAACCAUAAGUGGUGCAUUUUCUCCAUCUUUAAAGUUUCAAAAGAGUGAGAACCCUUGGAAACCUCCUUUUUUUUUUUUUUUUUUGGUCUAAAUUAAAAUUAGAAAUUAGUGUUGGCAUUGAAUUCACUCCUGUGACCAGUGUUCCCCACUUUCUUCCCUCUCCUCCACCAAAAACAGGUUAAUGAUUACCCAGUUUUAAAGUGGAAAGAACUGUGUCUAUGGAUUAUGGUUGGGAAUGACGUGUCAGAGACCAAAACUGGAGUUUUGGUUUCAUUCCCACAAGAUCUUGGCAUUUCUCACAGAAAAAAAAAAAAAAAGAAAGAAAAGUUUUGGCU